rnacentral:ncRNA from 2 species
CACAGAAAAGGAAAUGGUGUCUUCCUGAUUGAACCGCCCUAAAAAGCUGAUGGCGCCUGGUUAAUU